rnacentral:snoRNA from 1 species
AAAAAGGAACACCGAUGGGGCUUUUUGUGUAGACCUACACCUUUGGAAACGCCUCAUAGGGUAACUAUGUGGUUUCCUUUCCUCGCAGAACUACAUGUUAGAUCUGUGGGAAAGAACAAGACAGAG